AAAUUGGAUGCUUCAAAGGAUUUGAAUGGAGUUUAUUGUAGGUUCAUGUGAAGUGGUGCUUAUGAAGAUCAUCGACAAGGCAGUUGAGUGGAGUCACUUAUUAGUAUGAAGUGGCGCCUAUGAAGUUGAUCGACAAGGCAGUUGAGUGAAGCCACUUAUUAGUAUGCUUAGUAGUUCUGGCUUUGUAGUUGUCUCUCCUUUGUUACGCUUGUGGUAUCGAACUUCCAUGUCGAGUGGCUGCUUUUUUGGUGUCGAUUUUCAUGUCAGGUGGUUAUCUUUUGUGGUCUUAUGAACGCACUGAAACCAAUUCUACCUUAUAAUCUCAAGCCGAUAAUGAGCCCAUGUCUUGCUUCUAUAAUAGUUGAAUGUUUCUUCUUCA